GCUGGUAUGGCGCAAUUGGUAGCGCAACUGACCUGUAAUCAGUAGGUUAAGGGUUCGAGUCCCUUUGCCAGCU
rnacentral:tRNA from 2 species